rnacentral:rRNA from 1 species
AAUAUUGCACAAUGGACGCAAGUCUGAUGCAGCAACGCCGCGUGAGGGAUGACGGCCUUCGGGUUGUAAACCUCUUUUGGUGGGGAAGAAGCGAAAGUGACGGUACCCAAUGAGGAAGCCCCGGCUAACUACGUGCCAGCAGCCGCGGUAAUACGUAGGGGGCGAGCGUUGUCCGGAAUUACUGGGCGUAAAGGGUACGUAGGCGGCUACAUAAGUCAGGUGUGAAAUACCAGUGCUUAACACUGGAAUUGCAUUUGAAACUGUGUAGCUUGAGUGCAGGAGAGGAAAGUGGAAUUCCUAGUGUAGCGGUGAAAUGCGUAGAUAUUGGGAGGAACACCAGUGGCGAAGGCGACUACCUGGACUGAUACUGACACUGAGGUGCGAAAGCGUGGGGAGCAAACA